rnacentral:rRNA from 1 species
GCCCUUAUGACCUGGGCUACACACGUGCUACAAUGGGCAGAACAAAGGGCAGCGAAGCCGCGAGGCUAAGCCAAUCCCACAAAUCUGUUCUCAGUUCGGAUCGCAGUCUGCAACUCGACUGCGUGAAGCUGGAAUCGCUAGUAAUCGCGGAUCAGCAUGCCGCGGUGAAUACGUUCCCGGGCCUUGUACACACCGCCCGUCACACCACGAGAGUUUGUAACACCCGAAGUCGGUGAGGUAACCUUUUGGAGCCAGCCGCCGAAGGUGGGACAGAUGAUUGGGGUGAAGUCGUAACAAGGUAGCCGUAUCGGAAGGUGCGGUUGGAUCACCUCCU